rnacentral:rRNA from 1 species
CCUACGGGGGGCAGCAGUGAGGAAUAUUGGUCAAUGGACGAAAGUCUGAACCAGCCAAGUCGCGUGCAGGAUGACUGCCCUAUGGGUUGUAAACUUCUUUUAUAAAGGAAUAAAACGAGGCACGCGUGCCUUUUUGCAUGUACUUUAUGAAUAAGGAUCGGCUAACUCCGUGCCAGCAGCCGCGGUAAUACGGAGGAUCCGAGCGUUAUCCGGAUUUAUUGGGUUUAAAGGGAGCGUAGGUGGGUGGUUAAGUCAGUUGUGAAAGUUCGAGGCUCAACCGCAGAAUUGCAAUUGAUACUGGCAGGCUAGAGAGCAGUUGAGGUAGGCGGAAUGCGUGGUGUAGCGGUGAAAUGCUUAGAGAUCACGCAGAACCCCGAUUGCGAAGGCAGCUUACUAAGCUACGACUGACAUUGAGGCUCGAAAGUGUGGGGAGCAAACAGGAUUAGAUACCCGGGUAGUC